AUGAAUUUGAGUUCCCAACGAAUACUAACUGACGGAGAAAGAAAGAAAUAAGGAUUUUGAGAGCCAGUUGGAUGCACUGCACAUAAACAGCAACAGCCCCAUCUGAUUUUAAUCAUACCACACUUAGACCAGAAAAGGAAGUUGGAAAUAGAUUGAAAAUGUUCCUCCCAAAAGUGUUGGUUUUGAUUACAUUCAUGUCACCGUUCGCGGUAUCGACGUCAAGUGGUACAAUUGAGAAAAAACGAUCAGUAAACUACAAUGCAGUAGAAGGAUGUUUUUCUUCAUUCCCAUUUGCAGGCCUGACAAAGCAAAUGGGAGGUCACAACUCAAAUCUUAUGUGUCAAGAUACCUGCAGAAAUAAGGGAUAUAUUUUGGCUGCGACAAAAGGCGAUGAAUGUCAAUGUGGAAAUGUCUAUCCAAACGGACAAAAAGUGAAGCAAAGUCGAUGCACAACCAAAUGCCGCUCGUGGUCACCCUGUCAUGGACCA